rnacentral:tRNA from 1 species
UGGCUCAGUUGGUAGAGCUUGGCGCUUGCAACGCACAAAUUGUGGGUUUGAUUCCCAU